CCGAGCCGCCCCUCCCCCCGGCGGCCUCGUCCCCUCAGCGCGGGCGGGCGGGCGGGCGGCCAGCGCUUCCCCUCCGGCAGGGCCCGUGCCCGCGGAUCGUGUGUGACUAAAACAACAUCAGGCAGGGACGUGUGUCGUCACCCGCUGCGACGUUGUGAUCGCGGUGUGGUUUUGACGGCCAAAAAAACCACCACCCUCUUGGCAGCGAUCUCUGGAGGUUUUCAUCCCGUGCUUUGGGUGCUGCCAGGCAGCCCGUUUUCACAGGGAGUUUGUUCUAUAAGGCCGCAUUUCUGAUCUGGGCACACGGUUAUAUGACAAUAUCACUUUUCCUAUUCUUCAAAAGGAUGUUCGUUUUUUAAAAGCAAGAAACAAUGCUUCAUCUGUACGCUGCCUUGCUUUGAUUCACCUUUGUACAGUCAGAAGACAUCUUUUUGCUCCAGUCACACACGCCUCUGUCAAAGAGAAGCACACAGCCACCAGCUCUGUCAGGCACAGCAUGUGUGACACAUGUCCAGCAAAGCAGCAGAAAUUAUUUAGCAAAGCUACAGCUUUAGUUUUAUGAGGUACGUAGCAACACACCACAGGUCAAACUGGGCCAAGUUGCCUCCCUGCAUAUUUUAUGUUAAUUGUUGUGGAAAACACCACUGUAAAAGUGCUUUGGAAAAACAGUCAUUGCACAGCACUGACUCAACAUGUGCAACCCUAACUCAGCCUCAUCACAACCACCAUGAUCCUCCAGAAGCACAAAAAGCUUCUGAAGGUAAUGUUAUUUAUAUGUAUCCUGCUCACCAUAUGCAUCUCUCAAAUUUUCUCAGUGUCUGUCAGACUUCAGUCAGCAGGAUUAAUGUCUCCAGCUGAAUCACUACUGGAUUACUUCCCUUUGAUCUCGUCAGGGUUUCGCAAACUUGCCAGUAGUAGCACUUUGUGACUUAACCUUUGUACAGGCUACUGAAAACCAUAGAUGUGUGAAAAAAGACUGCAAAGUUUAUACACAGUAAGGAAUUGUGAGUCAGAGAUUAGUUUUCAAUUACUGUUUUAUUCCCAUGAUUGAAGACACAGUCAGGAUUUUGUAAUUCAUUAUUUUGGCUGCAGAAUGUGGUAAUGGGCAAGGGAAUGUAUUUUAAUUGCUAGGAAACUACUUAAUCUGCCUUCUAUUUUGAGGAUUAAAUUUAAAGCAGAGGGAGUGCGGGUUUGUGAUUCAUUGGCUGCUGUUGUUUGUUGCACAGAAAGAAUUACUCUUCCUUGGAACGGGUAGAUGAAACAGGAAUAUCCCCUUGGUAAAUUGCGGUAGCGAAGGGUGUAGAGGAAGCUAAUCCAUUUUAUCCCCAGUUUUGUUUAGGAUAAGAGAAAUUAGUUUUCUUUGCUUUCCUUCCAUUUCUGAACAUCUUCGACCUUAUGAAGAGGGACAGGAUGAAGGAAGGUUCCUGCACAUUCAGUAGGUGUAGCUGGCAGUGAAAAGUGACUGUGUGGCAGCUGUGUCAGUCUUCCCAGACACAACAUACUGCCCUCUGCAAGCCAAACUGUUAAUCUGAAAAAGAAACAAAAAGGAGGGGACAACAGUUAGCUUGGAGUAAGAAAGGCAGAUGUAGAAAGACAGCACAAGUAACCAAGCAAGGCAAAAAGAGUAGCACCCCCAGUGAACAUCAAGCACCAGGAGAUGUGGGAACAAGAGGAACCUUAGGAAGGAGACAACUUGUCUCACUUCAUGGUAAGCAGCUCCUCUCUGCACUGGGGGGAAGGCUUGUACCUGUGCCCGCUUGCGGAAGGCCUCCUGUGCAGCCUUCUUGUUCUCACUUUUGCCCACCCAUGCUGCCAGGGCAGAGGCUUGCAGGGCUCUUCCGUAUGAAAACGUCAGUUUCCAAGGCUUGGGCAGAGGGGACUGAUUCAUGGCGUUCAGGUUGACAGAAGCCUCCUCUUCACUCUGACCUCCAGACAGGAAGCAGAUUCCUGUAAGUAAGAGGUUUUGAGGCUUAGAAACAGAGUGCUCCAGCCACCGCAGUCCCUGACAUUUAAGUGCCAGAGGAGCAAGUGUGUCAAAGCCAGCAAGAGUGACAGCAUGAAUGGAUACAGAGGAAUGAACUGGGAAUCACCGGGAACAGCAGCAGGAACGGUGCGGAGAAGAGUCGUGACAGUUGCUACGGCCACAUCCUGCGGGGUGUACUUCUUGGUGCAGGAAUGCCCAGCUGUCACCAUAUUAGGUUUCAGCAGUGUCCCUUCCAGGUACACAUGAUGGUCAUUCAAAGCCUUGUAGACAGCAGCCAGAACCUGGAAACGGGAAGAUUGAAUACAGACCUCUGCUUAAAUUUUCAUCUCAUCUUCCUGUGGAAAGCCAGUUCAUUCCUUAGGAGUGCAAGAUGAAUUGAAUAUUUGAACUUUGAAGAAAAGAAAUUGAACUUUGCUUUCUCAUGAACUUAUGACAGGUUGCAGCCUUGGAGACACCACUGCUUUUGAGAUGACUGGGAUACCACUCUUCCUAUUUAUUGGAUUUGUCUCUGCAAACUGAGUUGCUGAAAGAGGGGUGUUUUUGCACUCAAUCCAUCUGAGAUUCAGAAUGCUUAUAAUGGCAGCUUUCGUGGAAAUCCAAAAGCAUGGAUUCUACUCUUGCUUUUCCUAUUUUCUCAUAAUUUGACUGUGAGCAACUAGUUUUUGUGAUCCAGUUAUGAAGUACCUUUUUGAUCAAAAGUCUUUUGAUAUCUGUGAACACAAAGUCUGCAUAGAUUAGCUACUGAUUUGAGAAAGGAAGGAGAGGAGCAGGAAUCUCUUACCUUUUCUGUGACAUACUGGCAGCGCUGGAGAUCAUGAUCUCCAUCAGGCAAGAUCUCUGGCUCCACAAUGGGCACCAAGCCAUUCUAAGAAAAGAAAAACAGAGGAGCUUUUGGGACUGUGGAAGAAAAACUGUCCUUGUUUUCUACCCUGACUUUGUUGGUACUCCUCCUUUUGAUGCUGCCCUCCUUCCUUGUCUUUCCCAAAAUCCUCACAAAGAUCCGCUUUUCAAGUUACCUAGAAUGUUAUCACAGGGAACAGUGACAGGGGCAACAGCACGUCAGGAGAGAUAACUGGAGGUUACAUACCUGCUGGCAGAUGCUGGCAUAGCGUGCCAAUGCAUUGGCAUUCUCUUGGAUGGCGAGUUGAGAGGGUGUUGUGCUGGUGAUUUUCAGCACUGCACGCCACUUGCCAAAGUCAGCACCAUCUUUUUUGUACUGGGCACACCGCUCAG